UCCUGAGGAGGCGGCGGCAGCAGCGCCUAUACCGCCCCGCCCGCCGCUCCUCGAGGUGCCUCUGUGUGAGGGGAGGGGGCCGUGCCGAGAAGGGGAGGGGGCGCCGCCGCCGCUGCGGAGGGAGCCGCCGCCGCUGCUGCUGCCGCUGCCGGGUCGCCAGUGAAGGGAGGCAGUGGCGGCGGCGGCGAACAUGUUUUCAGUAAGGAUAGUGACUGCAGACUACUACAUGGCCAGCCCGCUGCAGGGGCUGGAUACCUGCCAAUCCCCCCUCACCCAGGCCCCUGUCAAGAAGGUGCCGGUGGUGCGAGUCUUCGGAGCGACCCCGGCAGGUCAGAAGACAUGUCUUCAUCUACAUGGCAUCUUUCCUUACCUCUAUGUGCCAUACGAUGGUUAUGGACAGCAGCCAGAAAGCUAUCUUUCUCAGAUGGCAUUCAGUAUCGACAGAGCACUUAAUGUGGCUUUAGGCAAUCCAUCUUCCACUGCUCAGCAUGUGUUCAAAGUGUCAUUAGUAUCAGGAAUGCCUUUUUAUGGUUAUCAUGAGAAGGAAAGACACUUUAUGAAGAUCUAUCUUUACAAUCCUGCAAUGGUGAAAAGGAUAUGUGAACUUUUGCAAAGCGGAGCCAUAAUGAAUAAAUUUUACCAGCCUCAUGAAGCGCAUAUUCCCUACCUCCUACAGCUCUUCAUUGACUACAAUCUUUAUGGCAUGAAUUUAAUAAAUCUGGCUGCUGUCAAGUUCCGAAAAGCAAGAAGGAAAAGUAAUACAUUGCAUGCAACUGGAUCCUGCAAGAAUCAUUUAUCAGGAAAUUCUCUUGCUGAUACUUUAUUUCUGUGGGAACAAGAUGAAAUACCAAGCUCUUUAAUAUUGGAAGGUGUUGAACCACAGAGUACAUGUGAAUUAGAAGUGGAUGCUGUAGCUGCUGAUAUCUUAAAUCGUCUGGACAUUGAAGCUCAAAUUGGUGGAAACCCUGGUCUACAGGCCAUAUGGGAAGAUGAAAAGCAACGGCGAAGAAACAGAAAUGAAACUUCUCAAAUGAGCCAACCUGAGUCACAAGAUCACAGGUUUGUGCCAGCAACAGAAAGUGAAAAAAAAUUUCAGAAGAGACUUCAGGAAAUUCUCAAACAGAAUGAUUUCUCUGUCAGAACAUUAUCAGGAUCUGUGGACUACAACGAUGGAUCCCAGGAGUUCUCUGCUGAGUUAACAUUGCACUCUGAGGUUCUGUCUCCUGAAAUGCUUCAGUGUACACCAGCCAAUAUGGUAGAAGUUCACAAAGACAAAGAGUCAAGCAAAGGUCACACUAGACACAAAGUGGAAGAAGCUCUUAUUAAUGAAGAAGCAAUUUUGAACCUUAUGGAAAAUAGUCAGACUUUUCAGCCUUUGACCCAAAGACUGAGUGAGUCACCUGUUUUCAUGGACAGUAGUCCUGAUGAGGCUCUGGUACAUCUUCUUGCUGGUUUGGAAAGUGAUGGAUAUCGGGGGGAAAGAAAUAGGAUGCCAUCACCAUGUCGCUCCUUUGGAAAUAAUAAAUAUCCACAAAAUAGUGAUGAUGAAGAAAAUGAACCACAGAUUGAAAAAGAGGAAAUGGAGCUUAGUUUGGUGAUGUCCCAGAGAUGGGACAGCAAUAUUGAAGAACAUUGUGCCAAAAAGAGAUCACUGUGCAGAAAUACCCACAGAAGUUCAACUGAAGAUGAUGACUCAUCUUCAGGAGAAGAAAUGGAAUGGAGUGAUAACAGUUUGCUUCUAGCCAGUCUUUCUAUACCUCAGUUAGAUGGAACUGCAGAUGAAAAUAGUGACAAUCCAUUGAACAAUGAAAAUUCUAGAACCCACUCUUCUGUAAUUGCAACAAGCAAGCUAUCAGUUAAACCCUCCAUCUUUCACAAAGAUGCUGCUACAUUAGAACCCUCAUCUUCUGCUAAGAUUACCUUUCAGUGUAAACACACAAGUGCCCUUUCUUCCCAUGUUUUGAACAAGGAAGAUUUAAUUGAAGACCUUUCACAGACAAACAAAAAUACAGAAAAAGGUCUAGAUAAUUCAGUCACUUCUUUUACAAACGAAAGCACUUAUUCUAUGAAAUACCCUGGAUCUUUAAGCAGUACUGUUCAUUCAGAAAAUUCUCAUAAAGAGAAUAGUAAGAAAGAGAUCCUCCCAGUAUCUUCCUGUGAAAGUAGUAUUUUUGAUUAUGAAGAAGAUAUUCCAUCUGUUACAAGACAAGUACCAAGUAGAAAAUAUACAAACAUUAGAAAAAUCGAAAAGGAUUCCCCUUUUAUACAUAUGCACCGUCACCCUAACGAGAAUACAUUGGGCAAAAAUUCUUUCAACUUUUCUGACUUAAAUCAUUCAAAAAAUAAAGUAUCCUCUGAAGGAAAUGAAAAAGGAAACAGCACAGCUCUGAGUAGUUUAUUCCCUUCAUCAUUUACUGAAAAUUGUGAAUUAUUGUCAUGCUCAGGGGAGAAUAGAACUAUGGUGCAUUCUCUUAAUAGCACUGCUGAUGAAAGUGGACUAAAUAAACUUAAAAUUAGGUAUGAAGAAUUUCAAGAACAUAAAACAGAAAAGCCAAGCCUCAGCCAGCAAGCAGCACACUAUAUGUUUUUUCCCAGUGUUGUUCUUUCUAACUGUCUUACUAGACCACAGAAACUAUCUCCUGUCACAUAUAAAUUACAACCUGGCAAUAAACCAUCCCGGUUAAAAUUGAAUAAAAGGAAACUUGCAGGUCAUCAGGAGACUUCUACCAAAAGUAGUGAGACUGGAUCCACAAAAGAUAAUUUUAUACAAAAUAAUCCUUGUAAUAGUAAUCCUGAGAAGGAUAAUGCAUUGGCUAGUGAUUUAACUAAAACCACUCAUGGAGCUUUUGAAAAUAAAACACCCACAGAUGGUUUUGUAGACUGUCACUUUGGAGAUGGAACGUUAGAAACUGAGCAGUCCUUUGGACUAUAUGGAAAUAAAUACACACUUAGAGCCAAACGCAAGGUAAAUUAUGAGACUGAAGACAGUGAGUCAAGUUUUGUAACUCACAACUCAAAAAUUAGUCUACCUCAUCCCAUGGAAAUUGGUGAAAGUUUAGAUGGAACUCUCAAAUCCCGAAAACGAAGAAAAAUGUCUAAAAAGCUGCCCCCUGUCAUCAUAAAGUAUAUUAUUAUUAAUAGAUUUAGAGGGAGAAAAAAUAUGCUUGUGAAGCUAGGAAAAAUAGACUCUAAAGAAAAACAAGUAAUAUUAACAGAAGAAAAAAUGGAACUAUAUAAAAAGCUUGCACCUUUGAAGGACUUUUGGCCAAAAGUUCCCGACUCCCCUGCAACCAAAUAUCCCAUUUAUCCACUAACACCAAAGAAAAGUCACAGAAGAAAGUCAAAACAUAAAUCUGCUAAGAAAAAAACUGGUAAACAACAAAGGACAAAUAAUGAAAAUAUUAAAAGAACUUUGUCUUUCAGGAAAAAACGGUCACAUGCUAUUCUUUCUCCUCCCUCACCAUCUUACAAUGCUGAAACCGAAGAUUGUGACUUGAAUUAUAGUGAUGUUAUGUCUAAACUAGGUUUUCUUUCUGAGAGAAGCACAAGUCCCAUAAAUUCUUCUCCACCUCGCUGCUGGUCUCCCACAGAUCCAAGAGCUGAAGAAAUCAUGGCUGCUGCAGAAAAAGAGGCAAUGCUUUUUAAGGGUCCUAAUGUAUAUAAGAAGACUGUUAAUUCUCGUAUAGGAAAAACUAGUCGCGCAAGAGCACAGAUUAAGAAAUCAAAAGCAAAGCUUGCUAAUCCCUCUAUAGUUACUAAGAAAAGGAACAAACGAAAUCAGACAAAUAAACUAGUAGAUGAUGGAAAAAAGAAACCAAGAGCAAAACAAAAAACAAAUGAGAAAGGUACAUCGAGAAAGCAUAUAACACUUAAGGAUGAAAAAAUAAAAUCUCAGUCUGGUGCUGAGGUUAAGUUUGUACUGAAACACCAGAAUGUGUCUGAAUUUGCAAGUAGUUCUGGAGGCUCUCAACUACUUUUUAAACAGAAAGAUAUGCCACUAAUGGGCUCUGCUGUAGAUCAUCCCCUUUCUGCUUCCCUACCCACUGGAAUUAAUGCACAACAGAAGUUAUCUGGCUGCUUUUCUUCUUUCUUAGAAAGCAAGAAGUCUGUAGAUUUGCAGACAUUCCCCAGUUCACGAGAUGAUUUGCAUCCAUCAGUUGUUUGUAAUUCUAUAGGACCUGGAGUCUCAAAAAUUAAUGUUCAAAGGCCUCAUAAUCAAAGUGCUAUGUUUACUCUAAAGGAAUCAACGUUAAUUCAAAAAAAUAUAUUUGACCUUUCCAAUCAUUUAUCUCAGGUAGCACAGAAUACACAGAUAUCUUCUGGUAUGUCCUCAAAGAUAGAAGAUAAUGCAAAUAAUAUACAAAGAAACUAUUUGUCAUCAAUCGGAAAGUUAAGUGAAUAUCGCAAUUCCCUAGAAUCAAAGCUGGACCAAGCAUAUACCCCUAAUUUUUUGCAUUGCAAAGACAGUCAGCAGCAGAUUGUGUGCAUAGCGGAACAGUCAAAGCACAGUGAAACUUGUUCUCCGGAAAAUACAGCUUCAGAGGAAAGCCAAAUGCCUAAUAAUUGCUUUGUAACUUCCUUGAGAAGUCCAAUCAAACAAAUAGCAUGGGAGCAAAAGCAAAGGGGCUUUAUUUUAGAUAUGUCAAAUUUUAAACCUGAAAGAGUAAAACCGAGGUCAUUAUCAGAAGCAAUUUCACAAACCAAAGCACUUUCUCAGUGUAAAAAUCGAAAUGUGUCAACACCUUCAGCAUUUGGUGAAGGACAGUCUGGACUGGCAGUUCUAAAAGAAUUGUUACAAAAAAGACAGCAGAAAGCACAAAAUGCAAAUACUACACAAGACCCAUUAUCCAAUAAACAUCAACCAAAUAAAAAUAUUUCUGGUUCCCUUGAGCAUAACAAAGCAAAUAAACGGACACGAUCGGUAACGUCCCCAAGAAAACCUCGAACUCCCAGAAGUACAAAACAAAAAGAAAAAAUCCCCAAACUUCUCAAAGUAGACUCUUUAAAUUUACAAAACUCUAGCCAGUUGGAUAACUCUGUAUCAGAUGAUAGUCCCAUCUUUUUUUCAGAUCCAGGCUUUGAAAGUUGUUACUCACUUGAAGAUAGUUUAUCUCCUGAACAUAAUUAUAAUUUUGAUAUUAACACAAUAGGUCAGACUGGAUUUUGUAGCUUUUAUUCUGGAAGUCAGUUUGUCCCAGCUGAUCAGAAUUUGCCUCAGAAGUUCCUAAGUGAUGCUGUUCAGGAUCUUUUUCCAGGACAAGCUAUAGAAAAAAAUGAGUUUUUAAGUCAUGACAACCAGAAAUGUGAUGAAGACAAGCAUCAUACCACAGACUCAGCCUCAUGGAUUAGAUCUGGUACUUUAAGUCCUGAAAUUUUUGAGAAGUCAACCAUAGAUAGCAAUGAGAAUCGUCGCCACAACCAGUGGAAAAAUAGCUUUCAUCCUCUAACAACUCGGUCUAACUCAAUAAUGGAUUCUUUCUGUGUUCAGCAGGCAGAAGACUGUCUAAGUGAAAAAUCUAGAUUGAAUAGGAGUUCAGUAAGCAAAGAAGUGUUUCUUAGCCUCCCACAGCCAAACAAUUCAGACUGGAUUCAAGGUCACACCAGAAAAGAAAUGGGACAGCCUCUUGACUCAGCCAAUACCUCUUUUACUGCAAUACUCUCCUCCCCUGAUGGUGAACUUGUAGACGUGGCCUGUGAAGAUUUAGAACUGUAUGUUUCAAGAAACAAUGAUAUGUUGACACCAACUCCUGAUAGUUCACCAAGAUCUACUAGCUCUCCUUCACAAUCUAAAAAUGGCAGCUUCACCCCUCGAACUGCUAACAUUCUGAAACCACUUAUGUCCCCCCCAAGUAGGGAAGAAAUUAUGGCAACUUUGUUGGAUCAUGACCUGUCUGAGACUAUUUACCAGGAACCAUUUUGCAGUAAUCCUUCUGAUGUACCAGAAAAGCCCAGGGAGAUUGGUGGACGGCUCCUCAUGGUAGAAACUCGACUUGCAAAUGAUCUGGCUGAGUUUGAGGGAGACUUUUCUCUGGAAGGACUUCGUCUUUGGAAAACAGCAUUCUCAGCAAUGACUCAGAAUCCAAGGCCAGGGUCACCCCUUCGCAGUGGCCAAGGAGGUGUCAAUAAAGGGUCAAGUAAUAGCCCUAAGAUGGUUGAAGAUAAAAAAAUUGUGAUUAUGCCUUGCAAAUGUGCCCCAAGUCGACAACUGGUUCAAGUGUGGCUUCAAGCCAAAGAAGAAUAUGAACGUUCCAAGAAACUGCCUAAAACCAAGCCAACUGGAGUUGUAAAAUCUGCUGAGAACUUUAGCUCUUCAGUUAACCCAGAUGACAAACCUGUAGUGCCUCCAAAAAUGGAUGUAAGUCCAUGUAUACUCCCCACUACAGCACAUACCAAGGAGGAUGUUGAUAAUUCUCAGAUUGCUUUACAAGCACCAACCACGGGAUGUAGUCAAACUGCAAGUGAAAGUCAGAUGCUGCCACCAGUUGCCUCUGCAAGUGAUCCCGAAAAAGAUGAAGAUGAUGAUGAUAACUAUUACAUUAGUUAUAGCUCCCCUGAUUCUCCAGUAAUUCCCCCUUGGCAACAACCAAUAUCCCCAGAUUCCAAAGCAUUAAAUGGAGAUGAUAGACCCUCAUCACCAGUAGAGGAGCUGCCUUCAUUGGCUGUUGAGAACUUCUUAAAGCCAAUAAAAGAUGGUAUACAAAAAAGCCCCUGCAGUGAGCCUCAAGAGCCUCUAGUGAUAUCUCCAAUUAAUACUAGGGCAAGAACUGGGAAAUGUGAAUCACUUUGCUUUCAUAGUACACCAAUCAUACAGAGAAAACUUCUGGAAAGGCUUCCUGAAGCAACUGGCCUUAGCCCAUUAUCAACAGAACCAAAAACACAGAAGUUGAGUAAUAAGAAAGGAAGUAAUACUGACACUCUUAGAAGAGUACUGUUAACACAAGCAAAGAAUCAAUUUGCAGCAGUAAAUACCCCACAGAAAGAAACUUCUCAGAUUGAUGGACCAUCUUUAAACAAUACUUACGGUUUCAAAGUCAGCAUACAAAACUUACAGGAGGCAAAAGCUUUACAUGAGAUACAAAAUCUUACCCUAAUCAGUGUGGAGUUGCAUGCUCGAACUAGACGAGACUUAGAACCGGAUCCUGAAUUUGACCCAAUCUGUGCUCUGUUCUACUGCAUCUCAUCUGACACUCCACUGCCAGAUACAGAAAAAACAGAACUCACAGGUGUAAUAGUGAUUGAUAAAGACAAGACAGUGUUCAGUCAAGAUAUCAGAUAUCAGACUCCAUUACUUAUUAGAUCUGGAAUUACAGGACUCGAAGUCACCUAUGCUGCUGAUGAGAAGGCACUUUUUCAUGAAAUUGCAAAUAUAAUAAAGAGGUAUGAUCCUGAUAUUCUGCUAGGAUAUGAGAUUCAGAUGCAUUCCUGGGGUUACCUCUUACAAAGGGCUGCCGCUUUAAGUAUUGACUUAUGUCGGAUGAUCUCUCGGGUGCCAGAUGACAAAAUUGAGAACAGAUUUGCAGCUGAAAGAGAUGAGUAUGGAUCAUAUACAAUGAGUGAGAUAAAUAUUGUUGGCCGAAUUACACUAAAUCUUUGGAGAAUCAUGAGAAAUGAGGUGGCUCUAACUAACUACACCUUUGAAAAUGUGAGCUUUCAUGUUCUUCAUCAGCGUUUUCCCCUCUUUACCUUUCGAGUCUUGUCAGAUUGGUUUGAUAACAAGACAGAUCUAUACAGAUGGAAAAUGGUUGAUCAUUAUGUUAGCCGUGUCCGUGGAAAUCUCCAAAUGUUAGAACAGCUGGACCUGAUUGGGAAAACCAGUGAGAUGGCUAGACUUUUUGGCAUUCAGUUUUUACAUGUACUGACAAGGGGUUCACAGUACCGUGUGGAAUCAAUGAUGUUGCGUAUUGCUAAACCAAUGAACUAUAUUCCUGUGACACCUAGUGUUCAGCAAAGAUCCCAGAUGAGAGCCCCACAGUGUGUUCCUCUAAUUAUGGAGCCUGAAUCCCGCUUCUAUAGCAACUCUGUUCUCGUUUUGGAUUUCCAAUCACUUUAUCCUUCUAUUGUGAUUGCAUAUAACUACUGCUUUUCCACCUGCCUUGGCCAUGUGGAGAACUUGGGAAAGUAUGAUGAGUUCAAAUUUGGCUGUACCUCUCUGAGAGUACCUCCAGAUUUACUUUACCAAGUUAGGCAUGAUAUCACAGUGUCCCCCAAUGGAGUAGCUUUUGUCAAGAUUGCUAAUAAAUGUAGGCCGGAGGGGAUGGCUUAGUGGUCUAAGCAUCAGAUUUGAAAUACCUAGAGUCCCUGGAACUGCAGGUUUGAAUGUCAGCAGAGUCAACCCAGCUCAUCAUUCUUCCAAGCCUUCAGUAAGAAAAGGUGUACUACCAAGAAUGCUUGAAGAAAUUUUGAAGACUAGAUUUAUGGUGAAGCAGUCAAUGAAGGCUUACAAGCAAGACAGAGCCCUGUCACGAAUGCUUGAUGCACGUCAGUUGGGACUUAAGCUGAUAGCAAAUGUCACAUUUGGCUAUACAUCUGCUAAUUUUUCUGGGAGAAUGCCAUGCAUUGAGGUUGGCGAUAGUAUUGUUCACAAAGCCAGAGAGACCUUGGAACGAGCUAUUAAACUGGUGAAUGAUACCAAGAAAUGGGGGGCUAGGGUUGUAUAUGGCGAUACUGACAGUAUGUUUGUGCUACUGAAAGGAGCCACUAAGGAGCAGUCUUUUAAGAUUGGUCAGGAAAUUGCCGAAGCUGUAACUGCUACCAAUCCUAAACCAGUGAAAUUGAAGUUUGAAAAGGUAUAUUUGCCCUGUGUUUUACAAACAAAAAAGAGGUAUGUGGGUUACAUGUAUGAAACACUGGAUCAGAAGGACCCAGUAUUUGAUGCAAAAGGAAUAGAAACAGUCAGAAGAGAUUCCUGCCCUGCUGUUUCUAAGAUACUUGAGCGUUCUCUAAAGCUGCUAUUUGAAACGAGAGAUAUAAGUCUAAUUAAACAGUAUGUUCAGCGACAAUGUAUGAAGCUUCUGGAAGGAAAGGCCAGCAUACAAGACUUUAUCUUUGCCAAGGAAUACAGAGGAAGUUUUUCUUAUAAACCAGGAGCUUGUGUGCCAGCCCUUGAACUUACAAGGAAAAUGCUGACUUAUGACCGGCGCUCUGAGCCUCAGGUUGGGGAGCGAGUGCCAUAUGUCAUCAUUUAUGGGACCCCCGGAGUACCACUUAUCCAGCUUGUAAGGCGCCCAGUGGAAGUCCUGCAGGACCCAACUCUGAGACUGAAUGCUACUUACUAUAUUACCAAGCAAAUCCUUCCACCCUUGGCAAGAAUCUUCUCACUUAUUGGUAUUGAUGUCUUCAGCUGGUAUCAUGAAUUACCAAGGGGAUUUAUUGCGGCACUAUUCACAAUAGCAAAGACUUGGAACCAACCCAAAUGUCCAUCAAUGAUAGACUGGAUUAAGAAAAUGUGGCACAUAUACACCAUGGAAUACUAUGCAGCCAUAAAAAAGGAUGAGUUCAUGUCCUUUGCAGGGACAUGGAUGAAGCUGGAAACCAUCAUUCUCAGCAAACUAUCACAAGGACAGAAAACCAAACACCGCCUGUUCUCACUCAUAGAUCCAUAAAGCUACCAGCUCCUCGCGAAGUGAACCUGAAGGGCGGAAAGGCACUAUUUCACAAUAUUUUACUACCUUACACUGUCCUGUGUGUGAUGACCUAACUCAGCAUGGCAUCUGUAGUAAAUGUCGGAGCCAACCUCAGCAUGUUGCAGUCAUCCUCAACCAAGAAAUCCGGGAGUUGGAACGUAAACAGGAGCAACUUGUAAAGAUAUGCAAGAACUGUACAGGUUGCUUUGAUCGACACAUCCCAUGUGUUUCUCUGAACUGCCCAGUACUUUUCAAACUCUCCCGAGUAAAUAGAGAAUUGUCCAAGGCACCAUAUCUCCGGCAGUUAUUAGACCAGUUUUAAAUUGUCAAUAUCACAGUAUUACAGGUGCUAUUUUUUUCAGUGCUUACCACUAAACUGUUGUGCAUGGUGCUUUUUAACUUUCAUCGAGUCAAGGAUGUUCACUGUCUGUUAUCUGAAGACUAUGAAGACUUCUAUGCUAACCGAAUUAAAAUGUACUUGUUGAUCUCUGAAUAGCUCACUUCUUACAAUGUACAAAUUUCUCAUUCUGCCACCUUUUAAACAUUGUUUUAUAAUGCAGGUGUUGGAUUUGCUCCAGUAUGUGUACCAUCUUGUAAAUUCAUUUGAGUAGAUCAUGUUUACUUCCCAGUGGAAGGAGCACUGAAAACCUCUUAAAGAAAAAGCAUUUGUGUGUUUUCCUUGAACUGUCUGUAUCAAGACGUGUUACUUCGAGAUAUCCAUUCACUUUAUAAUUUUGACUGCAAAAUAUUUUGUAAAUACACUUUUUUACUUUUCAAACAACUGAGUAAAAUAAUGUGCAAUGACUUUUAUACAAAUGAUUUUCAAGUUGUUUGGUAUAUUUCCUCUAGGUUUUGCUUGACUCAAAGUAGAUCGUUAUUUUGAUCAAACUGUGCAAACAGUAGUACCACGUGUAGCAUUUUGAAACAUUAUUUUUUAAAAAAUGCUGUCUUGCUUUAGCUAUUAAUGGGGCAUUGUGAGGAACUGUGCAAAGACAUUUUUGUUACAAACCUGUGGGCCUGUUGCAAUACUUUAAAAAUAAAAAAUUUUAUUCCAUUUGCUUGUUUUGUAUAGACAUUUCUAUUGCUUCUAAAUAUACUUAAAAUAUUUUCUUUCCUUAUGUACUGUACAGUUAAUCUUAUUUGCCAUCAUCUUGAACACAAAAUGUGUAUUUAGAAUAUUUGUAUAACUGUGUAAAAUAAAAAAGGAAUUAUGUGGUCAGUGCAUUGUUUUUUAAACUGGAAAUCAUUUUGUUUUAAAAGUUAAUAAUGGAAACCAUAUUAAAAUUGAAUAAAAUAUAAAAUAUAGCAGUGUGACUUCA